rnacentral:RNase_P_RNA from 1 species
GAAGUUGAUUAAGGUAAUCGCGGUAUUGAUUUCAAUAUCGAGGAAAGUCCGGGCUCCACAGGAUGCAGUGCCAGAUAACGUCUGGGAGGCGUGAGCCUACGGCCAGUGCAACAGAGAGCAGACCGCCAGUUUAGACUGGUAAGGGUGAAAGGGUGUGGUAAGAGCGCACCGCAUGACCGGUAACGGUUCAUGGCAUGGUAAACCCCACUGGGAGCAAGACCAAAUAGGAAAACAUUUGUGUGAUCCGCACAGUUUUCGGGUAGGUUGCUUGAGACAUGCAGCGAUGUAUGAUCCAGAUGAAUGAUUACCCUAUCAUUAAGAUAGACAGAACCCGGCUUAUUAAUCAACUUCUACU